rnacentral:rRNA from 1 species
UACGGAGGAUCCAAGCGUUAUCCGGAUUUAUUGGGUUUAAAGGGUGCGUAGGCGGCCUGUUAAGUCAGGGGUGAAAGACGGUAGCUCAACUAUCGCAGUGCCCUUGAUACUGAUGGGCUUGAAUGGACUUGAGGUAGGCGGAAUGAGACAAGUAGCGGUGAAAUGCAUAGAUAUGUCUCAGAACACCGAUUGCGAAGGCAGCUUACUAUGGUCUUAUUGACGCUGAGGCACGAAAGCGUGGGGAUCAAACAGG